rnacentral:rRNA from 1 species
AUGUUGCAAUGGGUCAAGGACAAGGACAUCCUAAUGUCAUGCAAAGCCGCGACCGACGUGGAGGCGGGAGCUGUGACGAAUCCCGUGCCGCCCAGGUGCAUGACGACCACACGCGCGGCGAUCUCCAGGGUCCGUGCGCAACUCCGUCGUGUCGACGAUGACGCAUUCACGCCGCACAUCGUGCUGAUCGGCCUUUACAACCACCGUAAAGGUCUUUCCCAAUGGACGGACGUGAAGGAGAAAGCCGUCGUUGAUCUGUUUCACGGUGAAGUGGAUGAGGUGAUGCGGGAGCUUGAAAAUGUAGAGGGUGAAGCAAGGAGGUGCUAUGCCCAUCUGCCCGACCCCAUUUUGUGUUCGGAGCAGUCCUCAUUCUCACAUAUGCUGCUGCACGAUGGCUGCUAUCUGCUCUCUCUGUUUGUAAAAUAUGAGACAGAGGCAUGCAGCAACAGCGCGUCGACGGCUGCAGUCUGCGAUGACAAAGCGGUGGUGCGCGAUCCAUCCGAGUCCAACAACAGCGAGCCUCAAUAUCCCGAGACGGCAGCCGGUGGAGUCUCCGACGGCGCGGUGGUGCGCGACACCGUGUUCCUUGUUGAGAAUCAAAUACCUCUCUUGGUGCUUGACAAGAUCCACCAGCUCGUCACAGGAGACACCGAUAGUUCCGUCCUCCAAAACAUAUCCGUUGCUGUCCAGGAGCUUCUGCAGGCACAACUCUACAUCAGCAAGAAGCCUCGGCCGGCGCCGCAGCAGUCGUCCCACUUGCUGCACUUGGUGCAUCACUACUUUCAGCCAACCAAUCCGCCUCCGGAAACGGCAGAGAACACGGCACGGCGCACAGGCCGGUGGCGCCGGGCGACGGAGUACCGCUGCCACGGCAACGUUCGUUUCAAGCCAAAGGACUUGGUGGAAGGCAAGGAGUCCACCAUCCUGGACGUGAGCUAUCAAGGAGGUACGCUGUGGAUCCCUCGCCUGCAGGUCAACAGCAAUACCUGGACGAUCCUACGUAACCUGAUGGCUCUGGAGGAGCAGAUGUCACGGCGGCCCGUGACGGCCUACUGCGUCUUCCUGUCGCAGGUGGCCGGUACGGUGGAGGAUGUCAAGCUCUUAGUUCGUGCCGGGAUCGUCCAACAAUUCCUGUCAAGUGAGAAGCAGGCCGCCCAAGACUUGGCAAACCUCUUAACAGGGGUGGAAUUGGAAGUGGACAACCUCGACCAAAACUACCUCAAGCCCAUAUGGCGCGACCUGGACAUGCGCUGCAACAAAUGGGUCAACAGAUUCAUGGGAACGUGCCGCGAACAGCAUUGCCGCAACGGGUUGUACACCGUAGCAUUCGUUAUCACCGCCAUCCUCUUUGCCUGUGGAUUGCUGCAAGCGGUCUUUGCUGUCCUAAGCUACAAAUACAAGAAAUAG